UAGGAACUUUAAUUUCUUUGAAAAAUUUGUUUUUUUUAACUUCCAAGGCAUGUAUCUUUAUUUAAAAAAAUGUUUGGAAAAAAUGCUGAAAUAGGUGUUCAAUGAUUUUAUUAGAGGAAGCCCUGUCUAAAUUUUCAACUCUCUAACUUCAUUAUUUUCAGAGUUAUGAGCAUUUUGUGUUUAGGAACUUUAAUUUCUUUGAAAAAUUUGUUUUUUUUAACUUCCAAGGCAUGUAUCUUUAUUUAAAAAAAUGUUUGGAAAAAAUGCUGAAAUAGGUGUUCAAUGAUUUUAUUAGAGGAAGCCCUGUCUAAAUUUUCAACUCUCUAACUUCAUUAUUUUCAGAGUUAUGAGCAUUUUGUGUUUAGGAACUUUAAUUUCUUUGAAAAAUUUGUUUUUUUUAACUUCCAAGGCAUGUA